UUUAUGGAGAGUUUGAUCCUGGCUCAGGACGAACGCUGGCGGCGUGCCUAAUACAUGCAAGUCGAGCGGACAGAUGGGAGCUUGCUCCCUGAUGUUA
rnacentral:rRNA from 1 species